rnacentral:rRNA from 1 species
GAUGAACGCUGGCGGCAUGCCUAACACAUGCAAGUCGAUCGGUAAGGCUCUUCGGAGUACACGAGAGGCGGACGGCUGAGUAACGCGUAGGAACACACCCUGCAGUGAGGGAUAAGACACCGAAAGGUGUUCUAAUACCGCAUACGGUCUUCGGAUUAAAGCAUUUAUGCGCUGAAGGAGUGGCCUGCGUCAUAUUAGAUAGUUGGUGAGGUAAUGGCUCACCAAGUCGAUGAUGUGUAGCUGGUCUGAGAGGAUGAUCAGCCAGACUGGAACUGAGACACGGUCCAGACUCCUACGGGAGGCGGCAGUGAGGAAUAUUUCACAAUGAGCGAAAGCUUGAUGGAGCAAUGCCGCGUGCAGGAUGAAGGCCCUCGGGUUGUAAACUGCUUUUAUAAGAGAAGAUUAUGACGGUAACUUAUGAAUAAGGGACGGCUAACUACGUG